rnacentral:lncRNA from 1 species
UCUAGAGUUCCCAAUUGCCUGGGGAUGCAAAGAAAAGGUUAACGAGCAGCUAUGGAAAUUGAGGAAAUAGAAGGAAUGGAAGUGGAUUACGGGGUACCUUUACACAAAACGGGUGUUGCGUUGGUCCCUGAUGCUCGCUCUGGGGUAGUGCUGAAGUGGACGCUAGAAAAUGCAGUAGAGAGGAACGGGGAGCUUCUUCUGUUCCAUGUCCGAUCUGUUGUCCGAACAAUUACAACUCCUGGUAAGUCACUCUUUAGAAACAUCACUUGCAUCUAACAAAUUGUGUAAGUUGGGAGAGUACCUGUCUCGCAAGUUUCGAAGGAAAAACUUGCAGCGUAUAUGGCAACCAAGGAGGCCAAGACAGCGGACUUCUCUCAGGAGCUGCAAAAUGUCUGCAGACGUUAUGAGGUCCGAUCGGCUUGCUGAAAACUCAAAGGAAACACUUGACUUACAGGUGAAAGCAGAAUUCGUUCUCGUAGAGAGCGACGAUGUUGGUAAGUCUUUGGUGGAGCAAAUUGAGAAGUACCAAGUGACAACAUUCGUUCUUGGAGAGUCCCGAACAAACCUUCUGUAAGUAAGCAAGCUUGUUUC